rnacentral:lncRNA from 1 species
GCGUGCGGGGCUGCGAGCGCGUGGGGCCGCUGCGCCGUCGUCGCCAUGUCGCGAUUCUUCACCACCGGAUCCGACAGCGAAUCCGAGUCGUCUGCGUCGGGAGAUGAGCUGAGCUCCAAACCCACGGCGGGGAACUACAGCAAGUGGGGCCAUAUAGGGCCGUAUGGGGCCGUGUGGGGCCAUACAGGGCCUUAUAGGGUCUUAUGGGGUCUUAUAGGGGAGUUAUGGGGUCACAUAGGGGGGGUAUGGGGCGGUUAUGGGGGUGAGCUGAGUUCCAACCCCACAGCAGGGCACUACGGCACGUAUGGGGUCUUAUAGGGUUGUAUGGGGUCUUAUAGGGUCAUGCAGGGCCUUAUAGGGUCUUAUGGGGUCACAUAGGGGGGUUAUGGGGCGGUUAUGGGGGUGAGCUGGGCUCCAACCCCACAGCAGGGCGCUACAGCACGUUUGGGGCCAUAUAGGGCCGUACGGGGCCAUGUGGGGCCCUAUGGGGUCUUAUAGGAUAUCUGUGGGGUGGGUAUGGGGCAGUUCUGGGCUAUCUAUGGGGCAGGUGUAGGGCCGCUGUGGGGUGGCUAUGGGGUAUUUUUGGGGCAGUUGUGGCAGAUGUAAGGGGCGGUUAUGGGGUGGUUUGGGAAUAUUUGUGGGGUGG